rnacentral:lncRNA from 1 species
GUGAGUAUAACAUGUGGCUUUUCCUGGAGGGCAGGGAACAGGAGUGGGAAGUCAGAGCUUGGGCAACGGGGACCGAGCUGCAGGGCCAUGUGACCUAGUGCCCCAGGGGAUUUGGCUGUCUUCCUUGGCUCCCGGAGCUCAGAGCAGUGCUGCAGCUCAUGCCAGGGCAUGUGAAGACAGAGCUAACUGGAGUGCAUGGGGUGCCUUUGGGUGGAGGUUGCUGAUGGCUGGGACAGAUGCACCCUGCCCACUGUCUCCUCUGGGGACAGUGACAUCUUUCCCUGCUCUGAUAGCUUGAAAGGACCUGCAUGGCUGAGCUGCCCAGGGGAGCAUUGAGGUGCUUCCUCUGUGUCCUGAGGAGCCAGGUGCUCUCUGCACCCCCAGCUGCUGGAGCCCAGAGGGUGGCAGCCUGGAGCUGGGGCAGCGGUGCCUGGUGCAGUGAGGACUCGGUCUGUGUGGCCUGGUUAGCACAGGACCAUGAGGAAGGGGUUUGGCCAAGGCAUCCCCAGGGACAAGCACGGAUGACAGCAGAUGCUGCUGUCUCUUGGGGCCUGCACCUCGGCAGAGGCUGAUUCCAGCUUGCAGUUCUCCGCCACUUGCAGGUUGCCCUGGAGUUUGCAGUAUGCAUUUACAACUAAUCCAAGUCCACUUUGAAAUAAUUCUAUACUGCUUCAAGGUCAUGGAGGACAUUCAGGACUUGAGCACUUACCAAAUCACCUUUGAAGUGGAGCCCUGUGUGUGCUGAGACCACUAGGACCCUGGAACGGGUGCCCGUCACUCACAGAGCCUGUCAGCUUCAGAGGCUGGAAAUGGAAAUCCCAGGCCUACUUGUACACAGGAAUCUCCUGGAGCGAGGAUGUCCUCUUUUCUGAUACCCGCAGAACUGGCAUUUAAGGGGAUGCCUGUGCAGUAUAGCGAAGGAUAGAGCCUCAGAAAUAGCCCUUCUGGAUCAAUCACGUCUCUAGUUUCUAUAAAUGGAAGCUUAACAUCUGCUCUGCAUGUGUAUGCCAGAUCCACCUUGUUCUGGACAACCCUGUGACAUGCCUGAGUCACCCAGCCUUGGCCCUUCCCUGCUCACUGCCUCCUCUCCCUCCUUCGAGAGAAGUCAUCCUCCCAGGAAUGUGCUUUUCAAAUACAAACCAACCAAUCCAGAGUCCACACACCGUACUAACUGGGCUCUCAUGAUCCAGGCCACUGUCCUCCUGCCCUAAUCACCUCAGGGCCAGGUACCAGACAACCAAGGACAGCACCUGUGCCCCAGAGCCUGCGGAGAUUACCUACUCACCCUGCCUCGCCCAUUCCUUCCUGCAGAAAACACAACUCAGACUCUUGCCCACAGUUCCCCAGCCCCUCUUGUGACUGACCCUGGUGCCUCCCCAUGUGACCCCACCAUGGCAUCAUGGGGGCUCCCUCUCUUGGGACCUGUUGGCAUGAUAAGCUAUGUUUCCAAUAGCAGUCAUCUCCUCAUCUCGGCCUCAUCACACCUAAAGAAUAAUAAAACCCGUUGAAACACCUUCAACUCAACAGGACAGACUGGCCCAUUGGAAUCAUUUAGACUUGCAGACAUUUUGUUCAUGCUGUACAGCGUUUCUUCCAGGUACUCUGUUUCGCAGCAGAAAGAGCAGGGCUGAGAUUCACAGACCUGACUUCAGAUCCCCCUUCUAUCACUUACUAGCAUGUGGUCAUCUAUAAUUUACAUAGAUGUGGAAUAAUCCACAGUUUUGAGUAUUUUACUCUCUAGACCUGUGGAAAAUUACUGCUUCCUUUAGUCCUAAAUGUGGAAAAGAAAAUUUGUGUUUAUAUUGUGCCACAAUCUGGGGGGAGGGAGGGAGGGAGAAAAAUGUCAUAUCUGAAACACUCAAAUGAAAACCUUAUAUGUUACUACAUACAUAAAUAUUCAUAUUUAUAGAUAUGUAAAUGUUUAUUUAAAUGUCAGUGGCACCUUCAUUAUUGCGGAUAAGUAGCCCUGGGUGAACAGUCUGUAUUUAUCAACAUCGAGAUUGAAAUUAAGGCUAACCAUUGACCUCAGCCUGCAAUUGACGUAGUUGACGCACUCUUUCAGAGUCAGAUGAUAGUUCAUCAGUAAAAUGAGAAUAAUAAUAACUACUUCCUAAUAUGGUACAGGAUUAAUUGAGAUACAUUUUGUAAAGGACUCCAAAGGAUGUCUUACACAAAGGAGAAGCUUAAGGAGCUCAUCCCUCUAACUCAGUCACCUGAAGAUCUCAUGGGUAAAGUCAGAGACAUCCUCACCCUGAAGAGAGUAGUGCAGGCAAGUGUGGGAAUGCUGUGUGUGGCAGAGACGACCCUGACCCUGGUCUUCUAAAUCAUUUAGAAGAACCGUGUUCUUUCUGAUGAAGAUUCCCACCUGAAAAUGUUCAUAUCAAGGUGACUGAUGUUCUAGAGCAGCAUUGUCCAGCGAAACUUUCUUCAGUGAUGGGAAGGUCCUGUGCCUCUGCUGUCCAGGAUGGCAUCCACUCCCACCUUUACCUACUGAGCACUUGAAAUGUGGCGACUGCAACUGAGGAGCUGAAUUUUUUUAUUUAAUUUAAAUUUAAGUUUAAAUUUAGGGAACCACAUGUGGCUCAUAGCUACCACGUUGGCAUAGACCUAGAGCUCAUCUAAAAAGUGAAACAAGUGUGGAUCCUCCUAUAACUAAGAAAAAAGAAAACUUACCCUUUCAUCUUGAGGUAGGAGGUGGGACUCAAUUCUGGAAGCAGGGCUCAGACAUUGGACCAAAUUGAGGACUAGUUAAAAUAGGAACUAGGAAUGGGGUGGAGACACCUUUCCAUAAGACAUGCCCACCAGUGUGCCAUGUCAAUUUACCAUUGUUGUGGCAACACCUGGAAGUUACCACCCCUUUCCAUGGCAAUGACCUGAUGACCCAGAAGUUACCACCCCUUUUCUAGAAAUUUCUGCAUA